UAUUGGCUUAGUUAGGAGGCAUAUAUUAAUUCAGUGUUUGCAGUGAGGCCUUUUGAGGGGACUCUCCGUCUCUUCCUCUUCAAUUGUCCUCCAAGCAGCCUCACACAUUC